AUUGAACGCUGGCGGCAGGCCUAACACAUGCAAGUCGAACGAGUGGCGGACGGGUGAGUAAUGUCUGGGAAACUGCCUGAUGGAGGGGGAUAACUGCUGGAAACGGUAGCUAAUACCGCAUACCAUCAGAUGUGCCCAGCUGGUAUUAGCUAGUUGGUGGGGUAACGGCGCACCAAGGCGACGAGCCCUAGCUGGUCUGAGAGGAAGACCAGCCACACUGGAAAGGAGACACGGUCCAGACUCCUACGGGAGGCAGCAGUGGGGAAUAUUGAACAAUGGGCGCAAGCCUGAUGCAGCCAUGCCGCGUGUAUGAAGAAGGCCGUCGGGUUGUAAAGUACUUUCAGCGGGGAGGCGUUACCCGAAGAAGAAGCACCGGCUAACUCCGUGCCAGCAGCCGCGGUAAUAC
rnacentral:rRNA from 1 species